CGGGUCGAAUCAUUGGGUUGCAGCUCCUUGAAUGAUGCCAUUUUGAGGCCAUUAAUAUUGGCCUAAAACGGUGAUGUCUAAGGGUCCUUAUAAUCACAAAACAAGCCCUAAAAAUGAUGUCUGCAGCCAUUAAAUAAAAUGAAACCCUAUGUUGCUCUCUCAAACUUUCAGCCGACUCAAGCCUAAUCACUUGGCCCUGACUCCAUCGUAGCCAACAACAGGCGUGUUCGCCCUUUGAAAACGAUUUACAGCCUCAGAUUUCUCCUUCACCUUCGAUUUCGACGAAGCAAAGAGGAAUCAAUGGCAGAUUAGCAAGGUUCUAUGGACGCAAGGCUGUACGGAGGAAGAGGCCGUGGAGGCCAUGCGUGGGAACCACUCGUGGGAGCCCUGGCCUGCUGCUAUUCUGGCCGUAUUCUAGAAGCUUCUGAUGUUCUCGGCUCCUGAGCUCCUUUGGGUCCCGUUGGGUUUGGGAUUUGGGCUAUUCAAUUGGGUUAAAAAAAUUGUAUCUGGGUUGCUUUUAAUUUAGUUUAUGAUUUGGGCCUGGAGUUUUGUAAAAAGACAUUGGACCAUAAGGAAUUAUUAUUUAUUUAUUUA